rnacentral:lncRNA from 1 species
UGUAUUUAAAAUUUCAAAACUUUUUUUUUUCUUUCUUCCAUUUGCAGUAUUUGCUGUCUCUUUUAGAAGUCCCAGCAGAACACAUAUGUUAACAGAAAAUGGAUGAAUGAGUACCCUCUAGAGGCAGAGUUCAGCUGGGGAAAAUUCCAAGGUAUGGAGAAGAAGUAUCAGAGAACAUAAACAAGGCUUCUGUGAGGAGAAGAGAGUUGGGAUUACUCAAGACUCACAUAAAUACAAACAGGAAAUGCUGCCUCCUUUGACACCUGUUACAGCAAUGAAGCUGUAUGAAUAUCAUCUAUCACUUCUAACGUCUGAGCUUUGUCUAGAAUGAUCCUGGUAAUUGAAGCAGUGCAAAACCAUGGAUUUUCCUUUGCUGCGUGUUUAUAGUAUGAACUUCCAGUCCAUCUGCCCACAUAGCCAUCUGCAAAAUCACCAGGGCAACAGCUGGUAGAAAUGAGGUAGGUGAAAUGGUAUGUGAAGGUACAAAGAGGUUUGUAAAAUAACAUUGUGUUUUUGCAGCACAAGUAGCUUUUUGGAACAUCUCGUGACAUUGCCAAAAAGGGGAAAGCGUGAAUUUAUUUAUUUAUUUCCAUAAGUAUGCUCUUUUCACCAGUUAAG